CAUUCUAUAUACACUGAAAUAUAUGACCAUAUAAACAUAUAUUAACAGUUUAUAUAUAAAUAUAUAUAUACAGUGUGUCUAUAUAUUAUAUGUAUAUACUGAUAUGUUUAUACGUGUAUGUAUAAACUAACUAUCAGUUAUAUAUAGAUUAAUAUGCGCAUGCACAUGCACCCUUCUCAAGUAUAGUACUUAUCUUGCUUCUUUCAUGCAAAAAUGGAGUGAAUUUUCUGAAACUUUACUUGUGGUUUGCAAUUUUAUUAAGAAACUUUUUCUUAAUACAUACACACUCUUAACACACACAGUCUUUAUUAAGUAACUUUUUCUUAACACACACACUUUCUUCUUUCAUGCAAAUAUGGAGUGAAUUUUCUAGAGUAUUACUUGUGGUUUGCAAUUGUAUUAAGUAACUUUUUCUUAACACUCACCACAUAUACACACACACACUCACACUCACAUUCACAUUCACACUCACUCUCACUCUCACACUCACACUCACACUCACACUCACUCUCACACUCAGACACACACAUAUACACUCACACACACACUCACACGCACACGAACACACACUCACAUUCACACUCCCACUCACACUCACACUCACACACACAUACUCAUACACUCGCACACGCUCACUCUCACACAUUCACGCUCAUGCUCACAUUCACACUCAGAUAUAUAGUACACUUAUACGCAUGUUGUGUAUGGACUGAUGUGGGUAUAUAUACUAUGAUGUGUUUCUGCAUGUAUGUAUACAGUUGUUUGCUUUCAGUUUAUACAAUUAUCAAUGUAUGUAUAUAAUGAUACGUGCACGCACAUGCACCCUUAUGCAUUGAUAAGUGCGUAUGUACUGUAAAUGUUUACACUAAUACAUGCAUACUAUUACAGAUAUAUAUGACCAUAUAGACAUUUAUUAGCACUUUACAUAUAUAUAUACAUAGUGUGCAUAUAUACGAUAUGCAUAUAGUGAUAUGUUUUUACGUGUAUGUAUAAACUUCCUAUCAGUUAUAUAUACAUUGAUAUGCGCCUGCACAUGCACCCUUGCGCAUUGAUAGGGCAUACGUACAUUUCUAUAUUCACUUAUAUGUAUGACCUUAUGGACAUUUCUUAUCUGUUUAUACAGUUAUUGGUGUUUAUGUACACUGAUAUGUAUAUACUCACACUCAUGUGCAUAUCUGUAUUGGGUGUAUAUAUACACUAAUAUAUAAGACUAUAUGUGUACUUAUUAUCAAUGAUAUAUAUAAUUAUUAGCUCAAUUUGUGUACGUAUUGAUGUAUAUCAAUAGAUACCAUUCUUUUCAGAGUAUAUAUAUAUAUACUGAUACAUAUAACCAUAUAAUACAUUAGUUAUAAGCUAUAUAUACAAUUAUUAGAAUGUAAAAAUACAUUGAUAUGUGUGUGUGUGAUGUCUAUAUGUAUAUGAUGUGUAUAUACGGAUUUGUAUGUAUGUGUAAAGUGCAUAACUAUAUAUAUACAAUACAUUAAUAUAUACCUUGAUGUAUAUGACCAUAUAUACACUUAUUAGUACUAUAUACCUUUAUUAACGUAUAUGUAUACAGAUUUAUAUACUACACACACUCACAAGCACAAUCACUCUCACCCUCACCUUCACACUCACACUCACACUCACACUCCCUCACUCAUACACACAUACAAUCACACGCUCACACUCACACUCGCACUCGCACUCUCACUCUCACUCUCAGUCUCACUGUCACUCUCACUCUCACUCGCAUUCACACUGACACUGACACUGACACUUAUAAACACUCACACUCACACUCACACUCACACUCACACUCACACUCACAAAUAUAUAUACUAUCGCUUGUAAUCAGAUAUACAAUUGCGAAAUUCCUUAUUACUUUGUAUAAAAUUAGGUAUAAGAAUGGGUUUCUUCUCUUGAUGAAUUGGGUAUGUUGAAUACCCUAUUGUGAUAGUCCAUGUAAAUUUUUUAUCUUAUUUGUACUUGUUUUUUAUUAUUAUUGAUGAGCUUCAUCUUCAUUGAGUUUUCUUGUAAAUCAACAAGCACGAAAGCAACUUAUCAUUGAGGCGGAUCUCUUUACAUUUUUCGAUAUUUGAGAUCUUGAUAUUGCAAGCUUGAUUUGCUUGAUGGUUCUUUCUUCUCUAUUAUAGUAUUGCUCUUGCUUCUUUCAUGCAAAUAUAGUGUGAAUUUUCUAGAGCUUUACUUGUGGCUUGCAAUUUUAUUAAGUAACUUUUUCUUAACACACACACACUCUUGCUUCUUUCAUGCAAAUAUGGAGUUAAUUUUUUGGAGCUUUACUUGUGUUUUUGCAAUUUUAUUAAGGAACUUUUUUUUUACACACACAUGCACCACACACACACACACACUCACACUCAUACUCACUCUCACACUAACACUCACACUAAUGUAUAGGAAUGGGUUUAUAUAUACACUAAUGUAUAAGGCCAUGUAUAUACUUAUUAUCAGUGAUAUAUACAGUUAGCAGCUCUUUAUGUUUAUGUAUUGAUGUAUAUAAGCAUAGAAUACAUUAGUUAUCGGCAAUAUAGACAAUUACUAGUGUGUGAAAAAUACAUUGAUGUGUGUGUGAUGUUUGUGUAUGUGUAAAGUACAUAACUGUAUAUAUACAGUGUAUUAAUAUUUACUUUUAUGAAAAUACUAUUAAUGGCACAAAUUAAAGCUCAAAGCAUAAUUUUUUACUGAUAAAUAAGAAGCAGAGAGUGUGACUACCGGACCAAGUAAUCAAUAUUUUAUUGUUGAUUGUGUAAACUGUAAACUUACAGGAGCAAGCAAUUGUACAUAUAGGAUUAGUUCCCCAAACUUAAUCCUUCAGCUCUGUUUCCUCAAGAAAAUGAAAAGCCCUCUUCAAACUAUCCCAAAUCAGAGAGAAAAACCCUUUUCAAACUAUCCCAAAUCAGUUUUUCAUCUUCCUAAAUCAACAUCCCAUCUUCCUUUUCUCUCUCUAAAAAUCAGUUAAGGCCUCUUCCAUUAGAGUUCUUUCUUUUCUCUCUCUAAAAAUCACUUAGGGCAGCCCCUUCCAUUAGGGUUUGUGAAAACUAUUUUCUACUUCUUUCUUCUUGCUAUAAACCCUAAUGGCUAUGAGCCGAGCCAUAUUUUCUUCUCUUCCUUUCCUUCGUCGUUCUUCUUCUUCUCUUUACACAGUAAACAUAGAUGUAAAUCCCAAAUUUAUAUGAACUUCUUCCAACUAAAGAAAUUUAUGAAACUUUAACCAUAGUUAUGGAGUGACCAUAGACACCAUACCAUAAUUAAAUAACUGUCGUGACAAAACAAAAAUCAUGUGUUUACUUUUUGGUACCUGCUAAGUAGGAG
rnacentral:lncRNA from 1 species